rnacentral:rRNA from 2 species
GACAGAGGGUGCAAACGUUGUUCGGAAUUACUGGGCGUAAAGCGCGUGUAGGCGGCUCGGCAAGUCGGGUGUGAAAGCCCUGGGCUCAACCCAGGAAGUGCAUUCGAAACUGCCGAGCUGGAGUCCCGGAGAGGAAGGCGGAAUUCUCGGUGUAGAGGUGAAAUUCGUAGAUAUCGAGAGGAACACCGGUGGCGAAGGCGGCCUUCUGGACGGCGACUGACGCUGAGACGCGAAAGCGUGGGGAGCAAACAGG